rnacentral:misc_RNA from 1 species
CCAGCCUUCAAGCUCUGCUUGGUGUUGAAUGCCGUCCGGAGCUCCCAGCCUCUGGACGCGUUCGAAAAUCGUUGGCGGUGAAACUGGUUGUCCACCUCAAGCGUACCAUUUUAGUUUUCUAAGACUAGCUUGUUGGGCGGCGGCCGGUCCGGCUUCGAAACCCCCCACAUUUUCUA